rnacentral:tRNA from 1 species
GGCGAAGUAGCUCAGUUGGUCAGAGCAGGCGGCUCAUAUCCGCCGUGUCGGGGGUUCAAAUCCCUCCUUCGCCACCA